rnacentral:snoRNA from 20 species
AUGAUACAUAUUAAAAAUGCAUUCUAUUCACUGUGCCAUCUAUAUUACAUCCGUAGGUGAUCAGAGGGGAAAAGAAGAGCUAGAGCAACUCCCACACUCGUGAGCGUCCUCAUACUGUUCUGGGUGCUUCUCACAGGUGCUUCUUUUAGCACCUCCCAUUGGCCCAGAUCGGUAGCUGCGCAAGCGAGAUAUCC